AUUGUCCUAACAGUUCGGACACUUCUGGAUGGCAUAGACAACAGAGGGGAGAAUGUGGUAGUCGGAACCACCAACAGACUAGGUUCUAUAGAUCCUGCUUUACAGAGACCAGGACACUUUGACAGAGAGUUCCUCUUCAACUUGCCAAAUAAAGAGAUUCUUGGACACUUCAGAUGACUCCUACUGGACAUUCUCAGGUAGACCAGCAACAGGAGCUCUUGUGACCAGGCCAAUUGCAAAUGAAGUCACUUGUUAACCAAUGCCAACGAAAA